GUCCACGCCGUAACGAUGGCCACUCGGCCUUUGCGGGCGGAAUCUCCGUUCGUGGGGGCCUUAGCUAACGCGGGAAGUGGCCCGCCUGGGAACUACGAGCGCAAGCUUAAAACUCAAAGGAAUUGACGGGGGCCCGCACAAGCAGCGGAGCGUGUGGUUUAAUUCGACGCAACGCGCAGAACCUUACCCAGGUUUGACAUGCACCUGCAAGCCGCUGAAAGGCGGUCGCCUUCGAGGGUGGUGCACAGAUGCUGCAUGGCUGUCGU
rnacentral:rRNA from 1 species